rnacentral:tRNA from 1 species
GAGGGUGUAGCUCAAGUGGCAGAGCGAAUGCUUAGCAUGCAUGAGGUCCUGGGUUCAAUCUCCAGCACCUGCA